AGCUAGCAUGAUGUUCUAAUAAGGGCAGAGGGUGUGCUUGUGUUAUAUUGGUUGUGGUUCUUAAAUUGUGGUGCCUCUAUAUGAUGACAUGAAAAUUUGAUUGGGAGAAAAAGGGGUGGAGGUGUAUUACCUCUGGAAAGGUUGAAGGAGUGGCUGUCUUUGUUGUUAAUCUCGGCUAUGUGCCACUCUUCACUCUCUAUCUUGCUGAAAAUUGAAGUGUGGGUGAAAGGAGUUGGUGUGUGGUGUGGAGGGGGAUUUAUAGGCAGAUUGUGGGGUACUCUUGAGCCUUAAAUGGCUGCUGUAUCGUUUGUUGCUAUGCUGCAGAAAUCUCACUUUUAGUGAUCUCCUUGUCUCUCCUUCAUGGCUGCAAAACUUGCAUCUUUAUGGGUACCUAGUACUAGUUAUUAAUUGGGGUUUGUCUGAUUUGUAGAGAGGCAGGGGAUGUGGUGCCAAGGGCUGCAUUAUGAAGGGUGUGCAGGCUGGAAUCCCCCUUUUUUUGGCAAGUUCUUGGUCUUCAAGGGAAAAGAAGGUGAGAGGAAAUCUCGGCUCCCAUCCGGCAGCACUUCGAGCAGGCCCGGAUUCACCGAUUGGGCCGACGGGCCGCCCGAAACGGGCCCUAAGUCGGGCCUGAAGAAAAGGCCCAGAUGCACACCACAUUUUAGAUAUUUUCCCUUCCAUGUUUAUCUUUCUUUGGGGACUUAAUCCGUGUAACUUAUCCUAUAAAUUGUUGUUCACUAAACAAAAGUCUUGUUCUAUGUUUUGAAGUGUUUGAUGGUUAGUUGUUCUUUUAUUGUAUAAGUAAAGCUACUCGAAAAUUUUUGAUA